rnacentral:rRNA from 1 species
AUCAUUUGCCUUUUAAUUAGUGGCUAGUAUGAAUGGACAAACGAGAAUUCCCCUGUCUCUAUAAAGCCAAUGAAAAUUAAUCUUCAGGUGAAGAAGCCUGAAUCUCAUUAAAAGACAAAAAGACCCUAUUGAGCUUACAUUCAAUCUCUAAAAUAUUAAAAUAAAAUAAAACUACCCUUUUUACAAGAAUUUUGCUGGGGCGGCAAAGGAACAACCAAAAAUUCCUUUUCUCAAAGACUUAUAAGUCUAUUAACUGAUCCGUAUUAACGAUUAACAAAACUAGUUACCAUAGGGAUAACAGGCUAAUUUUUCUCUAAAGCUCACAUUAACAGAAAAGAUUGGCACCUCGAUGUUGGCUUAGGAUAUCCUAAGGGCGCAGAAGCCUUUUAAGGUGGGUUUGUUCA